CGGACGGGUGAGUAACGCGUAAAGAACUUGCCCUUUAGACUGGGAUAACAGAGGGAAACUUCUGAUAAUACUGGAUAAGUUAGUAUAUCGCAUGAUAUGCAAAUGAAAGCUACGGCACUAAAGGAGAGCUUUGCGUCCUAUUAGCUAGUUGGUAAGGUAAGAGCUUACCAAGGCGAUGAUAGGUAGCCGGCCUGAGAGGGUGGACGGCCACAAGGGGACUGAGAUACGGCCCUUACUCCUACGGGAGGCAGCAGAU
rnacentral:rRNA from 1 species